CCGGGUGCCCGGUUGGUGCGGAGGUCCCUCCUGCACCGUGUUUUAUUAUUUAUAUUUACUAUAAUUUUCCCGAACGGCCGGCAAUAAAAACAGCAAAAUAAGCAGCCAUGGAACAGUAGGAUCUAAAAAAUAUAUAUUAAUUCUAGUCAUCAAUGAGUACCUUUGUUCAUGACUCUUCACAUCCCCAAGAACAGAAGUACUUUUCCAUAACUUAUUAAAAGUGUUUCUUUUUAUGCUGACACAUUGAUAUGAAAUUUGAUUAAUUUCGUCACCUGAUGGCACCCUCCGAUAAGCCAUUCAAAUUAAAAUGAUUGACACUAAAAUUGCUUUAAUGAAUCAUUAAAUACAAAUUACACCUAAUCGUUGACAUUCUGGCCGUCUUUUUCUUUUCCCUGGCACUAUAGGCUAGGCCCGGCCGGUACGUGUGGUUCUUCAUCAUUUUCUAGUGGGUUUUUGUUUUUUUGGGGAACAGAAAAUUGCGUGCCGUUGCAAGAAGGCAAAACACGCAUAAUGGAUAAAUGUGAACAACAAACAACAAACAAAAACAAAGGCAGCAGCAACAGCAACAGCAACAGCAAUAAUAAUGGCCGAACGAACAAGAAAUAAAUUCUAAUUGCGUGCUUUUGGCAUAAAAUCAAAAUUCGUUAUAAAAAUGCGAAGAGCGAUGGAGCAGGGCGAACUAAACUGAAACACAAAGCUCCAACAAAAGGGCAAAAACUGCCUCAAAAAUAUGCCCACAAAGAAGUCAAACAAAAACGAGCAAAAAAUAUUGUUGAAAAUGAUUAACAUGCAAAGUCAUCAGAAACGAAGUUCUAAUACACUAAAAGUUUCAUUUUUUUCAAAUAAAUAUUUUUUAAACAAACAAUUUUAAUAUUCUUUGGGAAAUACAAGGAUAUUAGUAUUUAA